rnacentral:rRNA from 1 species
UACGUAGGGCGCAAGCGUUGUCCGGAAUUAUUGGGCGUAAAGAGCUCGUAGGUGGCGUGUCGCGUCUGCCGUGAAAGCCCAUGGCUUAACUGUGGGUCUGCGGUGGAUACGGGCAGGCUGGAGGCUGUAGGGGCAAGCGGAAUUCCUGGUGUAGCGGUGAAAUGCGCAGAUAUCAGGAGGAACACCGGUGGCGAAGGCGGGUCUCUGGGCAGUAACUGACGCUGAGGAGCGAAAGCGUGGGGAGCGAACAGG